rnacentral:rRNA from 1 species
GACGAACGCUGGCGGCGUGCUUAACACAUGCAAGUCGAGCGAGGCCCCUUCUUCGGGAGGGUGUCCUAGCGGCGAACGGGUGCGUAACGCGUGGGCAACCUGCCCCCGGCUCUGGGACAACGCCAAGAAAUUGGGGCUAAUACCGGAUAGUACCGCUGACCGGCUGGGAUGGGGGUGGGAAGAUUGAUCGGCUGGGGAUGGGCCCGCGGCCUCUCGGCUUGUUGGUGGGUAGUGGCCCACCAAGGCGACGACGGGUAGCCGGCCUGAGAGGGUGACCGGCCACACUGGGACUGAGACACGGCCCAGACUCCUACGGGAGGCAGCAGUGGGUAAUAUUGCGCAAUGGGCGAAAGCCUGACGCAGCGACGCCGCGUGGGGGAUGACGGCCUUCGGGUUGUAAACCUCUUUCAGCAGGGACGAAGCGCAAGUGACGGUACCUGCAGAAGAAGCACCGGCCAACUACGUGCCAGCAGCCGCCGUAAUAC